rnacentral:rRNA from 1 species
GACGAACGCUGGCGGCGUGCUUAACACAUGCAAGUCGAACGGAAAGGCCCUGCUUUUGUGGGGUGCUCGAGUGGCGAACGGGUGAGUAACACGUGAGUAACCUGCCCUUGACUUUGGGAUAACUUCAGGAAACUGGGGCUAAUACCGGAUAGGAGCUCCUGCUGCAUGGUGGGGGUUGGAAAGUUUCGGCGGUUGGGGAUGGACUCGCGGCUUAUCAGCUUGUUGGUGGGGUAGUGGCUUACCAAGGCUUUGACGGGUAGCCGGCCUGAGAGGGUGACCGGCGACAUUGGGACUGAGAUACGGCCCAGACUCCUACGGGAGGCAGCGGGGGGGAAUAUUGCACAAUGGGCGGAAGCCUGAUGCAGCAGCGCCGCGUGCGGGAUGACGGCCUUCGGGUUGUAAACCGCUUUCGCCUGUGACGAAGCGUGAGUGACGGUAAUGGGUAAAGAAGCACCGGCUAACUACGUG